rnacentral:rRNA from 1 species
UAGGGAAUCUUCGGCAAUGGACGAAAGUCUGACCGAGCAACGCCGCGUGAGUGAAGAAGGUUUUCGGAUCGUAAAACUCUGUUGUUAGAGAAGAACAAGGACGUUAGUAACUGAACGUCCCCUGACGGUAUCUAACCAGAAAGCCACGGCUAACUACGUGCCAGCAGCCGCGGUAAUACGUAGGUGGCAAGCGUUGUCCGGAUUUAUUGGGCGUAAAGCGAGCGCAGGCGGUUUCUUAAGUCUGAUGUGAAAGCCCACGGCUCAACCGGGGAGGGUCAUUGGAAACUGGGAGGCUUGAGUGCAGAAGAGGAGAGUGGAAUUCCAUGUGUAGCGGUGCAAUGCGUAGAUAUAUGGAGGAACACCAGUGGCGAAGGCGGCUCUCUGGUCUGUAACUGACGCUGAGGCUCGAAAGCGUGGGGAGCAAACAGG